UGAAUACGAGAUGCUACGGCAUUGAAGCAGUGUAUGUCAGACUUCCAAGAAAAGCUCGCAACGUCAUAAACAAUAAAUGCCUGUACCAUAACCGACACAGGUGGGUAGGUAGAGUAUACUAAGGGGCGCGAGAUAACUCUCUCUAAGGAACUCGGCAAAAUGACUCCGUAACUUCGGGAGAAGGAGUGCCUUAUUUUAUAAGGUUGCAAUAACAAGAUCCAAGCAACUGUUUACCAAAAACACAGGUCUCCGCUAAGUCGAAAGACGAUGUAUGGGGGCUGACGCCUGCCCAGUGCCAGAAGGUUAAAGAAGUUGGUUAGCUUCGGCGAAGCUGAUGACUGAAGCCCUGGUGAACGGCGGCCGUAACAAUAACGGUCCUAAGGUAGCGAAAUUCCUUGACGGGUAAGUUCCGACCCGCACGAAAGGCGUAAUGAUUUGGAUACUGUCUCGGAGAGGGGCUCGGUGAAAUAGACUUGUCUGUGAAGAUGCGGACUACCUGCACCUGGACAGAAAGACCCUAUGAAGCUUUACUGUAACUUGAGAUUGAAAUUGGACUUUAUUUGCGCAGUAUAGGUGGGAGACGUUGAGAAUAUUCUUGCGGGAAUAUUGAAGUCAUCAGUGAGAUACCACUCUUGUAAUGUUAGAUUUCUAACUUUGUAUCAUUAUCUGGUCAAAGGACAGUUUCAGGCGGGCAGUUUGACUGGGGCGGUCGCCUCCUAAACGGUGACGGAGGCGCACAAAGGUUUCCUCUGAACGUGUAGAAAUCGUAUCUAGAGUGUAAAGGCAUAAGGAAGCUUGACUGUGAGACCUACAAGUCGAGCAGGGACGAAAGUCGGUCUUAGUGAUCUGACGGUGCUGAGUGGAAAGGCCGUCACUCAACGGAUAAAAGUUACUCUAGGAUAACAGGCUGAUCUCCCCCAAGAGUUCACAUCGACGGGGAGGUUUGGCACCUCGAUGUCGGCUCAUCGCAUCCUGGGGCGGUAGUACGUCCCAAGGGUUGGGCUGUUCGCCCAUGAAAGCGGUACGCGAGCUGGGUUCAGAACGUCGUGAGACAGUUCGGUCCAUAUCCGGUGUAGGCGUUAGAAUAUUGAGAGGAGCCUUCUUUAGUACGAGAGGACCGAGAAGGACAUACCUCUGGUGUACCAGUUAUCGUGCCAACGGUAAACGCUGGGUAGCUAUGUAUGGAGUGGAUAACCGCUGAAAGCAUCUAAGUGGGAAGCCCACCUCAAGAUAAGUAUUCUCA
rnacentral:rRNA from 1 species